UACAGAGGGUGCAAGCGUUGUUCGGAAUUAUUGGGCGUAAAGGGAGUGUAGGCGGUUUGUUAAGUCUUCUGUGAAAUCUACGGGCUUAGCCUGUAACGUGCAGAGGAAACUAGCAGACUUGAGUGUCGGAGAGGAUAGGGGAAUACCCAGUGUAGAGGUGAAAUGCGUAGAUAUUGGGAAGAACACCGGUGGCGAAGGCGACCAUCUGGACCGGAACUGACGCUGAGGCGCGAAAGCCAGGGGAGCGAAUGGG
rnacentral:rRNA from 1 species